UUUCGCAAUGCCCGAAAGGGUGACGAAGCGACGCCGCGUGAGUGAGGAAGGCCUUCGGGUUGUAAAGCUCUGUCAGGAGUUAAGAAAUAUAAGUGUGUUAAUACCACAUUUAUUUGACGAAGGCUCCAAAGGAAGCCACGGCUAACUCUGUGCCAGCAGCCGCGGUAAUACAGAGGUGGCAAGCGUUGUUCGGAAUUAUUGGGCGUAAAGAGCACGUAGGUGGGUUUGUAAGUCAGAUGUGAAAGCCUUCUGUUCAACGGAAGAAUUGCAUCUGAAACUGCGAGUCUUGAGCGUAGGAGGGGAGAAUGGAACUUCUGGUGGAGCGGUGAAAUGCGUAGAUAUCAGAAGGAACGCCGGCGGCGAAAGCGAUUCUCUGGCCUAUUACUGACACUCAGUGUGCGAAAGCUAGGGGAGCAAACGGGAUUAGAUACCCCGGUAGUCCUAGCUGUAAACGAUGGGCACUAAGUAGAGGGGUUUUA
rnacentral:rRNA from 1 species